rnacentral:lncRNA from 1 species
GCGGCCGGUGCGUCGGGGAGCGGCGUUCCCAGCCGCCGCGACCCUCUGCCCCAGCGGAGCGCUGAGCUUCGGCCGCUCCGGGUUUCGGUUCCUGCCACGGCCGAGGUGGCUGCGGCGAAUGUGGGCGACCCGGCUCUCCGGCGCCCCCGCCCUUCCCUCGUGCUCACCUUUCCAGUCGGACGGGCUGCUGGUGAAGGGCCGGCGCCGCUCCGCGCGUCCUUUUGAACUCAACGGGGGCGGGCACCGCGGAGUCGCGGAGGCCAGCAGAGGCCGAACGAGGACCCCGAGCGGAGGAAGCCGCGGGUGGCGCGCGGGGUCUGUGUCCUGAAGCUUGGCAGAUGAGCGAACUUAGCCAGCACACCCCCGGCCGUGAAGCAGGGAGGUGAAGCGGGGAGAGCAACGAGCCCCACCCGGGUCUUGCCAGCUGGACGUUCUUGUGGGGCAGCGUUGAGCAGCGGUUAGGAGUGCCGUGGACUUUGGAUUCAAACAGCCCCAGCUCUUCUGCUUGCUAGCUGGGUGACUUUGGGCAAAUUAACAUCUCGAAAAUCUGUUUCCUCAUUCCUAAAAUGCGGGUCUGAAAGUGAUCAUGCCUGUAAAGCCAUCUCAUAUCCAUGGUUCUAGAAGCAUGGUGAGCACCUCAAUUUGAAUAAUCAGUGCCAUGCUUUAGCUACCUCUUGACUCACUCGUUUGUGGCAGGAAAUGUUCCCAAAUUAAUCAGAAGAAUUCAGUGACUAAGAGGAUGUAAUAGUAUAUAGCGCAGGCACUGGAAUCAGCUCUGCUGUGUGAUCUUGGACAAGCUGCUUCUGUUCCGUUUCUCUUAUCUGGGGCAAUACCUGUCUGAAUAGAGUGACUGUUGGGACGAAAUAGGUUAGUAAAUAUGUACUGUAAGGCAUUA